CCAUACUGAGACUCCGUUAUCUGACUGGGUCCAUAUCACACUGCGGUACUUCACGCUCAGUUGAUUUGAUAUAUAAAUAAAUGAAACAAGCAUCACAACAUAUAAACAUUAUAGUGAGUGACUACAGGAGCAAGUGGACCGUAUGCUGAAUCGUUUUGUAACGUAAGGAAAUAGCGGUAGACAUUUUUUAUAUGACAGACCAGUGACCCGCCCCGACUCCACACGGGUGCAAUGCUGAUACCAAAUAUAAACCUCCCACUGAAAAUUCAAUGGCAUGAAGAAACAGUGAUGAAUAGAUACCAAUCCACCGAUGCUUCCACUGAUUUUGGGGGCUAGUUUAUUAGCUGCUCUGUACUACUUUCUUUGUGUCAGACCUUAUAGGUAUUGGCAUAAUCGUGGUGUGCAGCAAACAAAUCCACGAUGGCUUUUUGGAGAUAAUUGGGGCAUAUUGCUUGGAAAUGAAAGCACGUCAAGUUUGGUUAGGAGAUGUUACGAUCAAUUUACAGGCACCAGG